ACCAGACUCCUACGGGAGGCAGCAGUGGGGAAUAUUGCACAAUGGGGGAAACCCUGAUGCAGCGACGCCGCGUGAGUGAAGAAGUAUUUCGGUAUGUAAAGCUCUAUCAGCAGGGAAGAAAAUGACGGUACCUGAUUAAGGAGCCCCGGCUAACUACGUGCCAGCAGCCGCGGUAAUACGUAGGGGGCAAGCGUUAUCCGGAUUUACUGGGUGUAAAGGGAGCGUAGACGGUGAUGCAAGUCAGAAGUGAAAGCCCGGGGCUCAACUCCGGGACUGCUUUUGAAACUGUGUGACUGGAGUGCAGGAGAGGUAAGCGGAAUUCCUGGUGUAGCGGUGAAAUGCGUAGAUAUCAGGAGGAACACCAGUGGCGAAGGCGGCUUACUGGACUGUAACCGACGUUGAGGCUCGAAAGCGUGGGGAGCAAACAGGAUUAGAUACCCCGGUA
rnacentral:rRNA from 1 species